GGAAUUCUGAAGCUAGUAAAUCCAGUUAUCCAGUCCCUUCAUCUCAAGUAGAUGAUAGGGUGCUCAAUGCUGAGAAAGAACAUGACAGUGUUCUAAAAAAGCCAGAAUCUGGAUCCAAGAGUGCUAGCAGUUGUACAGUUGCAAGUAUGACUGAGAACCACCACAAUGUUACUCCUGCAGUUCUGGAGACUAGACCUAGUAGUACAUCAACUGGAGAUGAUGAUAUAGAAAUGGUGGACAUUUCUACUUCAAAUGCCUGACCGAAAAGAAGAUAGGUUCUUAGGUUGUUCGUAUAGAUGAAGGUCAGUAAGUACUUUUGUUGGGUAGCUCCUAGACUCUGUUGUAAUCGAAAAAUUCAUUUUCCAAGUUGCUAAGUGGGUUAUGUAAAAUGAGAUUCA
rnacentral:misc_RNA from 1 species